AGAACGAACGCUGGCGGCAGGCUUAACACAUGCAAGUCGAGCGCACCGCAAGGUGAGCGGCAGACGGGUGAGUAACGCGUGGGAAUCUACCCAGUCCUUCGGAAUAACACAGGGAAACUUGUGCUAAUACCGGAUACGCCCUACGGGGGAAAGAUUUAUCGGGAUUGGAUGAGCCCGCGUUGGAUUAGCUAGUUGGUGGGGUAAUGGCCUACCAAGGCGACGAUCCAUAGCUGGUCUGAGAGGAUGAUCAGCCACACUGGGACUGAGACACGGCCCAGACUCCUACGGGAGGCAGCAGUGGGGAAUAUUGGACAAUGGGCGAAAGCCUGAUCCAGCCAUGCCGCGUGAGUGAUGAAGGCCUUAGGGUUGUAAAGCUCUUUCAGUAGGGAAGAUAAUGACGGUACCUACAGAAGAAGCCCGGCUAACUUCGCGCCAGCAGCCGC
rnacentral:rRNA from 1 species